rnacentral:rRNA from 1 species
UCGGGAAUUUUGGGCAAUGGGCGCAACCCUGAUCCAGCAAUGCCGCGUGAGUGAAGAAGGCCUUCGGGUUGUAAAGCUCUUUUGUCAGGGAAGAAACGGUAGUAGCGAAUAACUACUACUAAUGACGGUACCUGAAGAAUAAGCACCGGCUAACUACGUGCCAGCAGCCGCGGUAAUACGUAGGGUGCAAGCGUUAAUCGGAAUUACUGGGCGUAAAGCGUGCGCAGGCGGUUGUGUAAGUCAGAUGUGAAAUCCCCGGGCUCAACCUGGGAAUUGCAUUUGAGACUGCACGGCUAGAGUGUGUCAGAGGGGGGUAGAAUUCCACGUGUAGCAGUGAAAUGCGUAGAUAUGUGGAGGAAUACCGAUGGCGAAGGCAGCCCCCUGGGAUAACACUGACGCUCAUGCACGAAAGCGUGGGGAGCAAACAGGAUUAGAUACCCGCGUAGUCCCUGAGCGGGCUGGCAAGGCGCAU